rnacentral:misc_RNA from 1 species
AAUCCAACACAUUUUAUUUCUCUAAAAAUUGAAUCUUUUUAGCUUUAAAUCUCCAAUUCCUGUACGAAAAAUGGCUUCUUCUGACAAUUUAAUGACCAUGGAGCCAUGGGCUUUCCGUUCUGCUUUUGCUGAUUCUUGGUUUUCUGACGUAUACACCAGAGAAACUGAAACAUUAACCAAAGUCCUCCAAAAAUCUGCCUUCCCGGAACCGGAGAUGAACCCGGUUCAAACUUCGACCGGAACCAAUUCCGGUGGGUCGGAGAAUGAGACGACCGGUGUUUCGAAUCGGAGGAGCAAUAAAGUCCGAGUGAACGGGAAGAUAACUAAGAGGAAGUCACGUGCUUUAAGGCGUAAUACGACGACGUAUAUAACUGCUGACGUGGAUAAUUUCCGUGAAAUGGUGCAGCAGGUGACCGGAGUUAGAUUCGGCGGCGACGGGCAGUUGCCGGUUGCUCAUGUUCUGAAACCUGAACCCCAGCGUGUUGUCAACCGGCUACAGCCUGGUUGUUUUUUGCCUACACUUGACACGUCAGCUUUUUUACUCGAACAGUCAGCGGAACCCAUGCCGGCGCAGCCGCAGACGGCGGCGGAUGUGGUGGUUGAUGGUGGCUCGUGUGGAUUUGAUUGUAGCUCUUUUUCUGCCUUUCCUACCCUUGAAUCAUUCAUGGAAAACAGCAAUGUAGUUUAAUGUAACAGACCCUUUUCUGUAAUUUCACUUGGAAGGUGUAGAUUUUUGGACAAGUAGUAGAAAGGGUAAAAUGGG